AACGAACGCUGGCGGCAUGCCUAACACAUGCAAGUCGAACGAGACCUUCGGGUUUGGUGGCGCACGGGUGCGUAACGCGGGGGGACAUGCCCUUAGAUCCGGAAUAACUCCCGGAAAGGGGUGCUAAUACCGGAUAAUGUCUUCGGACCAAGGACUUAUAGCCUUUGGGUGGGCCUGAGUUCGAUUAGCUUGUUGGUAGGGUAAAAGCCUACAAAGGCGGCGAACGAUAGCUGGUCUGAGAGGAUGAUCAGCCACACUGGGACGGGGACACGUCCCAGACUCCGACGGGAGGGAGCAGUGGGGAAUAUUGGACAAUGGGCGAAAGCCUGAUCCAGCAAUGCCGCGUGAGUGAUGAAGGCGUGAGGGUUGUAAAGCUCUUUUACCCGGGAUGAUAAUGACAGUACCGGAAAAAAAAGCUCCGGCUAACUCCGU
rnacentral:rRNA from 1 species